UGUGUAAUAAGAUAUUUGGCUGAAAAAUCCCGUGAGUUGUCGGCUGCUACCCAUUAGGUAGUGUUACCUAUUAGGUUCUGGCACAUCCUAUGGAAUUCAGUCUGUAUCUAUAAAAUAUCAGCCGCUACCCGCAAGAUGUCGGCUGCUUCUCAUAAGGCUUCAAACAAUGCCAGUGAAGUGUCGGCUAUUACUCAAUCGAGGUAGACUAAAACCCAGUCGGCCAACACACAGAUAUUGGCCUAAGAACCAUUCGGUCGCUGUACAUGCAAUGCUAGCCGCAACUCACGAGGUGUCGGCCGCUAACUGUAAGGUGUCGAGCGCAUCUCACAAGUUGUCAAAAGAUACCCGUUAAAUGUCAGCCUCUUGGCCAAAUACCUGUGAGGUGUCGGCUGGUACCUAUGAGGUGUCGGCCGCUAUACAUAAAAUGUCGGGCGCUAACCAUAAAGUGU
ensembl:ncRNA F42G4.10 ncRNA